rnacentral:lncRNA from 1 species
UUUAAAUUUACAGUCUGCCUUUACUUUUCAUUUUUGAGAUCAGAUAAACUAGAAGAUUUAUAAUCUAGUCACUCUUAAAAAAGAUGAAAGUCUAAGAGAAUUGAUGCCCAUUGCACGAGCCCUGAUGGAAUGUUUUAAACAGACUGACAAUAAUAAGGUGAACUCAGAUUCAGAAAACCAAGCUUCUAGCUCUGUCUCUUUAAAUUCCAGUAAACCUGAGACUGUGUGUGUUUCAGAGAAUGUAACAAAUGUUGUUUCAAAUGCUGAUUUGAACUCCACUGAGAAAAAUCUCCCUUCUCUCUCUCUGAGAAAGAAUGAGACUUUUUCAGACUCUUCGUCGCGUUGUUCUGUUAAUGUAAAAAUAUGUGACUCUUGUAAGGGAGAAAGGACAAAAUUUGUAGAAAAUUUAAAUGAAAAAGUAAAUGUAUUUCCUAAGAUUAGUUGUGCGGAGACACUGAAAGCUAGUUUAGAUUGUGAUAUGCCUGAAGAAGAAACUGAGAGUGUUUCUUCCACUCAAGAAAUUUUAGUUUCUGGAAGUUCUGAGAAUUCUUUUUCAGUUAAGCAAAAACCUAGUUUUUAUGGUAAUUGUCAAUCCAUAGGUACAGAGAAAGAAAAAUUAGCUUUAAUUCAAAGGAUGGAGUCCUUUGAAAGAAUGAAUAACUCUCAAAAACCUGAAAAAACACGAGUUGAGUUUUUUCCUCAUUGCUGUGAUCCUAAUUCUUGUAUUUUAAAACAAAACCAUGUAAGUUUAAAACCUAGAUUUGUAGAUUCUUCAGCUGAGUUUUUCUUAGCAAAGAGACAAUGUGAAACUUGUGGUAAAGUAGCAAAUUCAAAGUUAGAGCGUGGCAAUGUUCCCAGUCAUGGCAGGGUUCCGAGGGGGGCGUGUUGCUUAGAGGUUUCUGAAAAAAAUUUAGAGGUGUGUUCUCAUGAUCAGGUUAGCCAGGCUUACUUACUAGAAGUAAGCCUGUAAUGAAAACUUCGUCAAAACCUGCAACUUUAAAGCUCAUCUAAAAAACCAACCAUCCUGUGUAUGUCGACCAAUAGCCUUUAACAGAAGAAAAGUUGAACAUUCUUAAUAAACUAGUAAAAGAACAAUUACA